GCUAGGAUAGUUUAAUAAAACACUAGGCUGUGACCCUAAAGAUAGAGACCACUCUUCCAAGCC
rnacentral:tRNA from 1 species